AGCUUUGUGCAGUGGCAGUAUCAUAGCCAAUAAGGUUUAUCCGAGGCAUGAUGAUUAUUGCUAAUUGAAAACUUUUCCCAGCACCCCUCCAUGACGACUUGAAAUAUAGUUAAUAUAGUUGGCAUUGGCAAUUUUUGACAGUCUCUAUGGAGA
rnacentral:snRNA from 1 species